rnacentral:tRNA from 1 species
GCGUGAGUGGCGAAAUUGGUAUACGCACUAGACUUAGGAUCUAGCGCUUCGGCUUGAGAGUUCGAGUCUCUCCUCGCGCACCA